AUACAGAGGGUGCGAGCGUUAAUCGGAAUUACUGGGCGUAAAGCGCGCGUAGGCGGCUACUUAAGUCAGAUGUGAAAUCCCCAGGCUCAACCUGGGAACUGCAUCUGAUACUGGGUAGCUAGAGUUUAGGAGAGGGAAGUAGAAUUUCAGGUGUAGCGGUGAAAUGCAUAGAGAUCUGAAGGAAUACCAGUGGCGAAGGCGGCUUCCUGGCCUAAAACUGACGCUGAGGUGCGAAAGCGUGGGUAGCAAACGGGAUUAGAAACCCCGGUAGUCC
rnacentral:rRNA from 1 species